UGGGGAAUAUUCCGCAAUGGACGAAAGUCUGACGGAGCAACGCCGCGUGAGUGAUGAAGGUUUUCGGACUGUAAAGCUCUGUUGUUUAGGACGAAAGUGCCUGUUGCGAACAGUUACGGGUAUUGACGGUACUAAACGAGGAAGCCACGGCUAACUACGUGCCAGCAGCCGCGGUAAUACGUAGGUGGCAAGCGUUGUCCGGAAUUAUUGGGCGUAAAGAGCAUGUAGGCGGAGAUUUAAGUCUGUUGUGAAAAUGCGGGGCUCAACCCCGUAUUGCGAUGGAAACUGAAUUUCUUGAGUGCAGGAGAGGACAGGGGAAUUCCCAGUGUAGCGGGGAAAUGCGUAGAUAUUGGGAGGAACACCAGUGGCGAAGGCGCCUUUCUGGACUGUGUCUGACGCUGAGAUGCGAAAGCCAGGGUAGCGAACG
rnacentral:rRNA from 1 species